UGGUGGGUAGUUUGACUGGGGCGGUCUCCUCCUAAAGAGUAACGGAGGAGCACGAAGGUUGGCUAAUCCUGGUCGGACAUCAGGAGGUUAGUGCAAUGGCAUAAGCCAGCUUGACUGCGAGCGUGACGGCGCGAGCAGGUGCGAAAGCAGGUCAUAGUGAUCCGGUGGUUCUGAAUGGAAGGGCCAUCGCUCAACGGAUAAAAGGUACUCCGGGGAUAACAGGCUGAUACCGCCCAAGAGUUCAUAUCGACGGCGGUGUUUGGCACCUCGAUGUCGGCUCAUCACAUCCUGGGGCUGAAGUAGGUCCCAAGGGUAUGGCUGUUCGCCAUUUAAAGUGGUACGCGAGCUGGGUUUAGAACGUCGUGAGACAGUUCGGUCCCUAUCUGCCGUGGGCGCUGGAGAACUGAGGGGGGCUGCUCCUAGUACGAGAGGACCGGAGUGGACGCAUCACUGGUGUUCGGGUUGUCAUGCCAAUGGCACUGCCCGGUAGCUAAAUGCGGAAGAGAUAAGUGCUGAAAGCAUCUAAGCACGAAACUUGCCCCGGGAUGAGUUCUCCCUGAGACUUAGAGUCUCCUGAAGGAACGUUGAAGACGACGACGUUGAUAGGCCGGGUGUGUAAGCGCAGCGAUGCGUUGAGCUAACCGGUACUAAUGAACCGUGAGGCUUAACCUUACAACGCCGAAG
rnacentral:rRNA from 4 species